GCCAAAUGAAGUUUAUAAAAGGUAAAGCGACUAAUAAAUGUUUGUUUCUAGCUAAAGAUACCCAAACCCAAACAUCUAUAUUAUGUUACCUAUUUGAGAAUUCAAAAAUAAAACAUAUUCAAGUCACAUAAGCAAGUAUAAAAUAUAAAGAAAAAUAAAUAAACAAGUUAAUGCUAAAAUAUAAAUAGCCAUGAGUGACUCCAAGCGAGGCUCGCUUAUUUUGCUUGCCAUUCGGAAUAGUAAAAAUGUAGUGAAGACUCCAUGUGCGGGUAUGAGGAUAACGUCAAGUCUAUAAAACUUGAAAUUUGCUAGAGUCUUGAAUCAAGACUCAAUUUUGCUCCAAAGUGUACA
rnacentral:lncRNA from 1 species